GAGGAACGCUAGCGGCAGGCCUAAUACAUGCAAGUCGCACGAGAAAGGGGGCAACCCCCGGUACAGUGGCGCACGGGUGAGUAACACGUGGGUGAUCUGCCCAGAAGAAGGGGAUAACCUCUCGAAAGGGGGGCUAAUACCGCAUAGGACCACCGGGGUUUUGGCUCUGUGGUGAAAGGGGGCCUCUGUUUACAAGCUCCUGCUUCUGGAUGAGCCCGCGUCCCAUCAGCUAGUUGGUAGGGUAAUGGCCUACCAAGGCUACGACGGGUAGCUGGUCUAAGAGGAUGGCCAGCCACACUGGAACUGGAACACGGUCCAUACUCCUACGGGAGGCAGCAGUGGGGAAUCUUGCGCAAGGGGCGAAAGCCUGACGCAGCGACGCCGCGUGGGUGACGAAGGCCUUCGGGUUGUAAAGCCCUGUGGGGUAGAACGAACUGGCAUCGGGCUAAUAUCCCGGUGUCUUGACGGUACUGCCUUAGCAAGCAUCGGCUAACUCUGUGCCAGCCGCCGCUGUAAGAC
rnacentral:rRNA from 1 species